CAUGCGCAAACAAAACCAAAAUUCGUUCAUCCGAUAUUAGUGCUCUCUUCAUAACAGUAAUUUUAAAGUUAAAGACCAAACACCAAAAUCAGUAAUUAUUCCAAAUAAAGAGUAUGUCCUGUAAACUAUUUUAGCAAAUAGAAAACAAUUUGUUUUUGUGUUUGAUAGCCACAUUGAUCAAGUACCACCGAGUAGUUUAGUCAUAGUGAUCGAUUUUGUUGCGAAAGAUACAAAUAUUCAAGAAGAGAGCAGAAGUAAUAAUCCUGAUUUUGAGCCUCCAGCAAAAUUCGUGUUGUAGAUAUAACAGCAAUUACAGAUCCAUGGAGACAUCAGGGAGACAUAUUAUAAUGGGAUCAUUUGGGUUUGGUGUAAGUGUCCAGACUCCAAUACUGAUGUCUGCGAAUACACCGAGAAAGCGGAAGCUGCAAAAUAGAACUUCCAAUUUACAGCGUGAAAAUAUAGAAUUAAAAGCGGAAGUAGUAAAGCAUUUGAAAUAAGCAAUCUAGUUUAAGUACGUUUCAGAGUUUAUAUAAAAAAUUUUUAUGCUCGAAAAUAGUUAAUUUCGUUAAUAUGUAGGUUGUACAAAAUAGUAGAAGUAUUCACGGCAGACAGUAUACAGUGUACAUUUUGUUGGGCCAAAAUGUUAUCGGCAGGUGCAAGCCACAUUUGUCUUUCCGUCGACGAGGGUGUUACAGAGGAAUUUAGAAAAAAUGCAAUUUUUUGUAGGGUUAAACAAUAUUUUAUUUGCCAUUUUAAAAUUGAAAGUAGAAAACAUGCAUAACUUAGACAAAUAUUGCUCAGUAUGUGUUGACGACAUGUUGACAAAAUUAUCCGAACAAACGCUUUCAUUAUAUUAUCAAUUACUCCAGCUGCUCGUGAAUCGUUCCGUGUCGAGUACUGUGUCUACCACAAGAAAACAUUGCUUAAACAGAAUGCCUUUAAGUACAAUACCAGAUACUUAUUGCACAAAUGCUUAAAAAUUCACAGUUGCCAAAUAUGCACUAUCUUUUCCAAUAGUAACGAGUUAGAUGAAACCAAUUUAUUUACACAUUUUAAAGCAUAUAAUACAGAACGCAAUUUUUAUGGUGCACUAAGAGAUCCACACGAAACCUUUUACAAUUGAUUUAUUUACUUUAGAAACAGUAUUUUUUUCAAAUGCACAUUCUGUUUUACCUCGCACCAAUGUAGGAAACAAUAUGUAUCAGUUAUGUACAAUAUCAAUCAUAGUGUCCGUUCGUCUAGUGAAAAAGCACUGACUUUGGAGUCCAAGUUUAACUGUAGCAAAUAUCGUAAAUCUAAUUAUUUAAUAAAAGCGUUAAAUUAAUUAACAUAAUCAUCUGAUAAAAGCUUUAAAAUAUUCAAUAAUUUAGAAUUUCAAUCAUUUAUUUGAAAUUACAAAAUACACUAGAUGAACGGACACUAUGAUUGAUAUUGUACAAACAGUAUCAAUCAUAGUGUCCGUUCGUCUAGUGAAAAAUCACUGUCUUUGGAGUCCAAGUUUAAUCGCAGCAAAUAAAUAUUCUAAAGCUUUUAUCACAUGAUUAUGUUAAUUAUUUUAACGCUUUUAUUGAAAAAUUAGAUUUAUGAUAUUUGCUGCGGUUAAACUUGGAUUCCAAGGUCAGUGCUUUUUCACUAGACGAACGGACACUAUGAUUGAUUCUGUACAAAUGUUACCGGUUUCACUCAUCCUUGUAAGAAUUUCCCUUUGCAAUAUUUAUUAUAGUUAUUUAUUCAAUUAAGAAUUUAUUACACAUUGAAAUAUAGUAAUAGAGAUUUUAAAACGGGUGUAAAAAAAGAUAGGAGGUUUCGCAUUGUAUUGAAUUUGUAAAUAUUGUAAUGUCCUUUAAAUGUUAUCCAGAACCUUCUCUCAUCUUAUUGUAUAAUUAUGUAAUUUAUAUAUAAAUAUAUUUUCGAGAACGUUCCCUCA